ACGAAGGUUUUUGGAUCGUAAACCCCUUUUGUCAAGGAAGAAGCUCUGACGGUACUUGACGAAUAAGCCUCGGCUAACUCCGUGCCAGCAGCCGCGGUAAUACGGAGGAGGCAAGCGUUAUCCGGAAUGAUUGGGCGUAAAGCGUCUGUAGGUGGCCAGCUAAGUCUGCUGUUAAAGAUCACAGCUCAACUGUGGGAAGGCAGUGGAAACUGGCAAGCUAGAGGUUGGUAGGGGUAAAGGGAAUUCCCGGUGUAGCGGUGAAAUGCGUAGAUAUCGGGAAGAACACCGGUGGCGAAAGCGCUUUACUGGGCCAGACCUGACACUGAAGGACGAAAGCUAGGGGAGCGAAAGGGAUUAGAUACCCCUGUAGU
rnacentral:rRNA from 1 species